AUGUCCGGAUCCAACCUUCAAGGUCGGUGGAUGCCCUCCUUCGUCACAGAGGAGGACAUCAAGAAGCUAAGAGAAGCUAGGUAUUUGACCGACGAAAUCUCGCACAGGUUGCCUGCUCGAGGGCAGGUCAUUCCCACUCCCGAACCUGGCGAGAGUGUCGUAUUCGUCUCCCACUUCCUCCGAGGACUAGGUUUCAGUCUAGAUCCCUUUGUCAGAGGGCUCAUGUUCUACUACGGGCUCGAUUUCCAUGAUCUGGCUCCGGAUUCCAUCCUUCACAUCUCGUCGUUCAUCAUCGUGUGUGAAGCCUUCCUCCGCAUUACCCCACACUUCGGCUUAUGGCUCAAGACCUUCAAUGUGAAGCCGAAGAUGAUUGAGGGGCGACACGCAGAGUGCGGAGGUGCCGUAAUAAGCAAAGGCGCCGAUGUUCCAUGGCCAAAGGGUUCCUUCCCGGAGCUGUCCAGUUUAUGGCAACGGGAGUGGUUUUAUAUCACAGCUCCCCGGGGUACUAAGUGGGUAGCCCCCCUGCCUUCCGCUCGGGCCCCCCGCCACAACUGGCGUCAUGGGUCAACAAGGGGCCGGACUGGGGGGCAGCAAAUGAUGUGCCGUCAUUGCAGAGUCGCAUCCGAGAUCUCCUCGAGAGAGAUGUCAGCCUUGUUAAGGUAA
rnacentral:rRNA from 1 species